CAAAGGUCGGGGCUCGGUGCAGGCCACUGGGGGAAACAGUUCUGUAUGGACCUGGCAUAUCGUCUCAAAUAUAAUGCUAUAUAUCAUGAGAAUAGCUCCAGACUAAAGACGUCGCGCUGACAGAACCUUCUGGGUUUUUUAAAUAUCGCAGUUCAGCCGAUCACAAACAGGCUCCUGGGACAAAGGAAAGAAGGCAUGCAUAAAGGAAGAUAUGGUUGUAAAUAAACUGUGCAGCGGGAUGCAGAAGGUCGUGGCAGAGCGACGUCUGCACGAAAACUUCCAGUGAUUCGCAGUGCAGGUCCAAAGCAGACAUAACAGGAGGAUGAGAGAACACAGAGGCGGCUCUGUUACCUCCAUCCAGACGACAGGAUUGCACAGUGGCACUUGUGAGCUAAUGGCAGUGACCUGAUACAAGCAAGAGGGAGAAGUCACCACCAGCUGCUCACUCAAUGCUCCUCUGUGGGACGUCUGGCCUCUUCUACUGGGACCUGAUCUUUACUACAACCCACCCUGUCUGUGGAAACAGUGAAAGAUUCAAGGUUUUUCAACAAUUUUCCAUAAAUCAUGUAUAAUGGGGGCAAUUUUCUACCCUGUCAGGCAGCUGUUGGCUCCCAUUUAUAUACAAUACAUGUAACAUAUCAAGGCUUUAUGUUCUUUGGCACAGCUUAACAACUGUGACUUUCAUACUGCACAGAACAACGCAUAACAUCCAACACUGGAGGUGAAAUCUCUUACGUGGUUUGUAGUCUCUGCGGUCUUCUGCAGGUCAGAGGGAUUAAAGACUCUGAACCACCAACAAAUAAGAAUAUCAGUGUCUGUAUAUUAGUGCUGAGGGUGGAAACCUACCCCAGGUGUUAUUUUACCAAGUGCAUGUUAGGAAAGGCUCCAACGUCCUGUGACUAUGAAUAGAAAUAAUAAGGAAGAAAUAAUAAAUGUUUUACACCAAUGAAGAAUAAAGAAAAGAAUCUUUU